rnacentral:rRNA from 1 species
GAACGAACGCUGGCGGCAUGCCUAACACAUGCAAGUCGACCGAGACCUUCGGGUCUUGUGGCGCACGGGUGCGUAACGCGUGGGAACCUGCCCUUAGGUUCGGACUAACUCCCCGAAAGGGGUGCUAAUACCGGAUAAUGUCUUCGGACCAAAGAUUUAUCGCCUUUGGAUGGGCCCGCGUUGGAUUAGCUAGUUGGUAGGGUAAAAGCCUACCAAGGCGACGAUCCAUAGCUGGUCUGAGAGGAUGAUCAGCCACACUGGGACUGAGACACGGCCCAGACUCCUACGGGAGGCAGCAGUGGGGAAUAUUGGACAAUGGGCGAAAGCCUGAUCCAGCAAGGCCGCGUGAGUGAUGAAGGCCUUAGGGUUGUAAAGCUCUUUUACCCGGGAUGAUAAUGACAGUACCGGGAGAAUAAGCUCCGGCUAACUCCGUG